rnacentral:lncRNA from 1 species
GGAGGUUUGGAUUCUCUUUCUGCUUCUUGUUACAUGAUGUUUCCAUAAGUAUUUUCAUUUCUUUGAAGAGACUGCAGUAAUUUGACAAUUAUUCUCCUGGAAAAAUUUUCUUGGUUUAGGUGUCUGGAAUUGAUAAAGUUCUGGCCCUAGCCUUGUUUUAUUUUCAGUCAGGUUUCCUCCUGCCCUAAUUCUUAAAAGAGAAAAAAA